CCUGGGGUUCCCGAGCGGCCAAAGGGAGCAGACUGUAAAUCUGCCGUCAUCGACUUCGAAGGUUCGAAUCCUUCCCCCACCACCA
rnacentral:tRNA from 1 species